GACGAACGCUGGCGGCGUGCUUAACACAUGCAAGUCGAACGGAAAGGCCCUGCUUUUGUGGGGUGCUCGAGUGGCGAACGGGUGAGUAACACGUGAGUAACCUGCCCUUGACUUUGGGAUAACUUCAGGAAACUGGGGCUAAUACCGGAUAGGAGCUCCUGCUGCAUGGUGGGGGUUGGAAAGUUUCGGCGGUUGGGGAUGGACUCGCGGCUUAUCAGCUUGCUGGUGGGGUAGUGGCUUACCAAGGCUUGGACGGGUAGCCGGCCUGAGAGGGUGACCGGCCACAUUGGGACUGAGAUACGGACCAGACUCCUACGGGAGGCAGCAGUGGGGAAUAUUGCACAAUGGGCGGAAGCCUGAUGCAGCGACGCCGCGUGCGGGAUGACGGCCUUCGGGUUGUAAACCGCUUUCGCCUGUGACGAAGCGUGAGUGACGGUAAUGGGUAAAGAAGCACCGGCUAACUACGUG
rnacentral:rRNA from 1 species